GCGAGAGGUUGUGUUGGAGAAACGGGGGAGAGACGACGCGUGGAGUUAACAAACAAGAGAUCACGUCAUCACAUUAUUUGGCGCUUGAGGCCCUGUAUAUUCUGAUCCUCCGAGCCAAGAUGCCCCGCUGCCGAGUGCCUUUGGUUCUCCUUCUCAUGUGCCUUUGUGGGAAGGCGACGGCGCAGAACAUCAUCGCCGUGGCUGCUUCAGGAAACCACAACGUUGUCCAGGAGCUCAUUACCGCCGGAGCCAAUGUUAAUCUCCAGGAUCCUCAGACAGGU